GGCCGUUGCUAGGCACCCGAGCGCGUCCUCCUUCCCCCCCAGUGCCGGGCGCCCGGCGGGUCCGGCCGGGGCAGAGUGAGAGGAGAUGGCUAGAAACCGCGAGCACUUUGGACUGAGUUACCUAGAAGAAGUGAAUAUGAUUAAGGAGAGUGAGACUUUAUGCGAGGAAUCUCGGCGGGAUUUACCACAGUUCAAACAACCACUAGCUACUGCUCAUACGAAUGCAAGUACUCCACCCUCAUUGGAAGAUUUAACACCAGAUCAAUCACCUCAGCCAGAAUUUUAUCCUCUCCAGAGGUCAAAGAGUCCACAUAAGCCUAUCAUGAAUGCAAAUAAAAAUAUUCCUAAUGAAUUCAUUGGCAGUUCUGAAGUCCACAGAGAAGUAAAGCUCUCCUGUGAAGUCAGAGGCAUGAAAAAACAAACUCGUGAUCUCAGAAUGAUGACUGAAAGAAAUAAAUCUCCUCCAAAAGAGGACAGCACUGACAAAAAACAAGGACGUUGCUCUGAAAAAAUAAACGUGGAAAAUAGUAGCACUUGUACCAAAAGAACAAGCGAAAAGAUGCCAGUAAUAGCAUCUUUAGCAGGUACUGCAAAACAAAUCACUUUGUUUAAGCAACCAGUACCCCCUCAGAAACCUAGCUAUAACAGGCUUAUUCUUCGUCCAAGAACACUGACUAAUAAGCCCCCUAUUCCGUUACAGAAGGACAAAGAUACUAGAAAAGUGAAGGAUAGAAUUGCCACUCUAAAGAUAAACCUUCAGGCUAUAAAAACAAAUAGUACUGAAGAACUCAUCAGAGGGAGUUAUAUCAGUCGUGAAUCUAGUUGUACAGAUUCUGAUUCAAGUAAACAAGCAUCUAAAAAAACAGUAAUUGGGAAAGAAGAUUUGCAAAGAGGUAGCAAAGUUUUAAAAGAAAAUCAACAAAGUUUAGUUUCUGAGAUGGGAAGAGCACCGAGUAGCAGCCAGCCAAGUGUGGGGUCUGUUCCAGAGCUGUUGGAAGAAGCUUCAGACACAACUAGACAAGACACUUCAAAAAUAUACGAGAAGAACUUCCAGCAGAGCAAACCAGAGGAGCCUACUUCCACACCAAAGUUGCCUGUGAAAGUGGCUGCAAGGUCUAUUGAUGAAAUAAUUGCUUCCCUGCAGUCUACUUUUCAGUCUCCCUCUGACCAGAUGAUCAAAGAACUCCUGGAGAGUGUUCUUGGCGAGAACUACAGCAUAAAAAUUGAAAUAAAAGAAUCAUCUACUGAAACACUUCCUGAUCAGGCACCAGGAACUUUACGUCCACCUUCACAGGAUUUGCCUUGUUUUCCUGAAAGUGGGGGCUCUAAAUUGAAGCUGUUUUCUUCAAGUGUUCCUCUCUUGUCAAAACCAAAUUUACCAUUGCUUAACAUUUUGGAGGAAGUAAAGAAUGAGCAAGAAUUACACAAGGCCGUAUCAUCGUCAUCGUUAUCAUUAUUAGAGACUGUAUCCUCAGAUGUGCUACAAGUGAAGGGCAAAGCAGUCUUGAAGACUAAACCAUUUGAAGUUCAGCAGAAGUUACCAGAUCACCAGCUACAACACCCUCUGUCUUGGCUUUCCACAUGGACUCCAAAGAUAAAAGAGCAACAUUACCCAGUUAUGCAUCACCUGUGUACUGCUUCUCCUAGUUUUUCAUUGCCCAUUGAUCUACAACUGGCUUCUAGAGUAUAUCAUACUUUUAGUAGAAGAGGCCAUGAUAUUUUAUUUACAAAAAAAGAACCACACCAUGAAGAGGAAAAACUAUUCUACUCAAAACAUAUUUUUGGGGGGGAUCAAAGUGAAAGAAGAAGGUAUGGAUCUGUUUUCAGUUUUGCUGUUAUUGUAACUUUUCUGAAGACUUUACUUUUAAUAUGUUGUUAAGGUGUGUUUUGCAAAAUAGUUUUAUUCCUAGAUCCUGCUUUAGGC
ensembl:lncRNA